AGCAGCGUGGCUUAGUGGAAAGAGACUGGGCUUUGGAGUCAGAGGUCAUGGGUUCGAAUCCCAGCUCUGCCA
rnacentral:tRNA from 1 species